CCCUACGGGUGGCAGCAGUGAGGAAGAUUGGGCAAUGGACGCAAGUCUGAACCAGCCAUGCCGCGUGCAGGAAGACGGCUCUAUGAGUUGUAAACUGCUUUGGGACGAGGGGAAACGCAGAUACGCGUAGCUGUCUGAAAGGAUCGGACGAAGAAGGAUCGGCGAACUCCGUGCCAGCAGCCGCGGUAAUACGGAGGAUUCAAGCGUUAUCCGGCUUUAUUGGGUUUAAAGGGUGCGUAGGCGGUCGGAUAAGUUAGAGGUGAAAUCCCGAGGCUCAACUUCGGAAUUGCCUCUGAUACUGUUCGGCUAGAGCGUAGUUGCGGUAGGCGGAAUGUCUGGUGUAGCGGUGAAAUGCUUAGAGAUCAUUCAGAACACCGAUUGCGAAGGCAGCUUACCAAGCUACUUCUGACGUUGAGGCACGAAAGCGUGGGGAGCAAACAGGAUUAGAUACCCCAGUAGUC
rnacentral:rRNA from 1 species